CCAGAUAUGAGCUAAAGCUCCCGGUCGGGAGCUAAUGCAAACGAAACAGCUUUGGCUGAUGGUUGACAAACCAGGGCUGUUCCGUGUGCAGUUGUUUUUGACGCAUUGUUGAUCUCUAUUGGUAACACAUGAAUCCCAUCCUAAUAAACCGUUUACAAAGAAAGCUGGGCUAUACUUUUCAGC
rfam:Brenneria sp. EniD312 chromosome, whole genome shotgun sequence.